UUACAUAGAGAAUUUGCCUGAAGUCACAAAAUAUGGGCCUGCUACAAAGAAAGCCCGUACUGAACCUCUUUCAUUGUACAGUUGCUUAGAAGCCUUUUUACGUGAAGAGCCAUUGGUCCCUGAGGAUAUGUGGUUAGUUCCCUCCUGCUCUCAUUGCUCUUAUGGAAGCCUUUUUACGUGAAGAACCAUUGGUCCCUGAGGAUAUGUGGUUAGUUUCCUCCUGUUCUCAUUGCUCUUAUUGCCAAAAUUUUACACGAAAAAAAGGACAACUAUUUGCUCAUUAUAUGCCUGAUGUCUGCGCAUACCAUUC
rnacentral:lncRNA from 1 species